UACAGAGGGUGCAAGCGUUAAUCGGAAUUACUGGGCGUAAAGCGCACGUAGGUGGUUUGAUAAGUUGGGUGUGAAAUCCCCGAGCUUAACUUGGGAAUUGCAUUCAAGACUGUCUUACUAGAGUGUGGAAGAGGGAAGCGGAAUUCCAGGUGUAGCGGUGAAAUGCGUAGAUAUCUGGAGGAACAUCAGUGGCGAAGGCGGCUUCCUGGUCCAACACUGACACUGAGGUGCGAAAGCGUGGGGAG
rnacentral:rRNA from 1 species